AUGAGUUAGUAGACAGAACGUUUUUUUCGAGAGAAAAUCAGUGCGAGUGGGACAAAAAGUCUCCGAAUUUGUCUUUUUACGUUGAGUUUAACGCCGCCCAUAGAAUGGUGAAAGAAAAAUGGGUAGAGGGAGAGGUGAUUGGCGUGAGAAAAACAAGCGUACCCAUGCGUAUCAUGAUGAAAAAUGGAAAUUGCAUCAAGAUCGCAGACGGCAUGGACGAAAAUCUCGUAUCCUCCCUCCUUGGAUUUCCAAUAAGGUAUAAAAUUGGGACAGAUGGGAUUGCUGUUGAGAUAGAAAAGUUGUAAUAUGUUUUUUUUAUAUUUCGUUAUAUAGUGCGUCCCACAAAAAAAAGAAUCCGAAAAAUUAUUGAU